CAACGGCAGUAUAAAGAGUUCUAGAACUAAAAAAGUUUACAAAUAGAUCGAUGGACCACCUAGCGACGGCAACAAGCGCAAGAACGAGCCGAAGGCAGGCCACCGUCCUUGCCCCUCCAUCACCGAAGCCGUGUAGAGGGUGCCCAAAGAGAGCUUGUGGUAGUAGACGUUGGGAUAGCUGUCAAGAUGAGAACCAUAAAUUGAAAGAAGAAGACCGAAAACCACA
rnacentral:lncRNA from 1 species